rnacentral:rRNA from 1 species
GACGAACGCUGGCGGCGCGCUUAACACAUGCAAGUCGAGCGAGAACCAGGGCUUCGGCCCUGGGGACAGCGGCGAACGGGUGAGUAACACGUGGAUAACCUGCCCUCGGCACCGGGAUAGCCCGGGGAAACUCGGAUUAAUACCGGAUAGCCCUUCCGACUCUCGAGUCGGUCCGAAAAGGUAGCUUCGGCCUCUGGCCGAGGAUGGGUCCGCGGCGGAUUAGCUUGUUGGUGGGGUAACGGCCUACCAAGGCUCCGAUCCGUAGCUGGUCUGAGAGGACGAUCAGCCACACUGGGACUGAGACACGGCCCAGACUCCUACGGGAGGCAGCAGUGGGGAAUCUUGCGCAAUGGGCGAAAGCCUGACGCAGCGACGCCGCGUGAGGGAUGACGGCCUGGUGU